rfam:Ictidomys tridecemlineatus contig008239, whole genome shotgun sequence.
GGGGUUAUAUCUCAGUUGGUAGAGUACUUGUCUCGCAAGCAUAAGGCCCUGGGUUUAAUUCCCAGCACCA